rnacentral:rRNA from 1 species
GAAUUCGCCCUUAGAGUUUGAUCCUGGCUCAGGACGAACGCUGGCGGCGCGCCUAACACAUGCAAGUCGAACGAGCGAGAGAGAGCUUGCUUUCUCGAGCGAGUGGCGAACGGGUGAGUAACGCGUGAGGAACCUGCCUCAAAGAGGGGGACAACAGUUGGAAACGACUGCUAAUACCGCAUAAGCCCACGGGUCGGCAUCGACCAGAGGGAAAAGGAGCAAUCCGCUUUGAGAUAGCCUCGCGUCCGAUUAGCUAGUUGGUGAGGUAACGGCCCACCAAGGCAACGAUCGGUAGCCGGACUGAGAGGUUGAACGGCCACAUUGGGACUGAGACACGGCCCAGACUCCUACGGGAGGCAGCAGUGGGGAAUAUUGCACAAUGGGGGAAACCCUGAUGCAGCGACGCCGCGUGGAGGAAGAAGGUCUUCGGAUUGUAAACUCCUGUUGUUGAGGAAGAUAAUGACGGUACUCAACAAGGAAGUGACGGCUAACUACGUGCCAGCAGCCGCGGUAAAACGUAGGUCACAAGCGUUGUCCGGAAUUACUGGGUGUAAAGGGAGCGCAGGCGGGAAGACAAGUUGGAAGUGAAAUCCAUGGGCUCAACCCAUGAACUGCUUUCAAAACUGUUUUUCUUGAGUAGUGCAGAGGUAGGCGGAGUUCCCGGUGUAGCGGUGGAAUGCGUAGAUAUCGGGAGGAACACCAGUGGCGAAGGCGGCCUACUGGGCACCAACUGACGCUGAGGCUCGAAAGUGUGGGUAGCAAACAGGAUUAGAUACCCUGGUAGUCCACACCGUAAACGAUG